rnacentral:rRNA from 1 species
GAUGAACGCUGGCGGCGUGCCUAAUACAUGCAAGUCGAGCGAACGGACGAGAAGCUUGCUUCUCUGAUGUUAGCGGCGGACGGGUGAGUAACACGUGGAUAACCUACCUAUAAGACUGGGAUAACUUCUGGAAACCGUAGCUAAUACCGGAUAAUAUUUUGAACCGCAUGGUUCAAAGGUGAAAGACGGUCUUGCUGUCACUUAUAGAUGGAUCCGCGCUGCAUUAGCUAGUUGGUAAGGUAACGGCUUACCAAGGCAACGAUGCAUAGCCGACCUGAGAGGGUGAUCGGCCACACUGGAACUGAGACACGGUCCAGACUCCUACGGGAGGCAGCAGUAGGGAAUCUUCCGCAAUGGGCGAAAGCCUGACGGAGCAACGCCGCGUGAGUGAUGAAGGUCUUCGGAUCGUAAAACUCUGUUAUUAGGGAAGAACAUAUGUGUAAGUAACUGUGCACAUCUUGACGGUACCUAAUCAGAAAGCCACGGCUAACUACGUG